AAGCCAAUAAGCACAUUAGUGUAAGUGACCUCCUUCCCUUUAAGAGCAAGCAGCUAAGCACUUUCCUGCUCCACUGUUGGUGGCAAUGUAAAUGGGACCGUCCUUUUGGAAGGGAAUUUGGCAGUAUGUAUUAAGAGCGAACCCUUUUAACCUAAAAGCUCCAUUUUCUGGAAUUCUAUCCCAGCAGAAAAAAAAUUGAAGUUAUAGAAAAAAAAUCACAUGCAUGAAUGUUUAUCACAGCAUUAUUUCCACUAGCAAAAUACUGAUGAGUAGCUCAACAUUCCACCACAAGACAUUGAAUAAAUAAAUAGACAUACAGCAUAAUCACUCAAUGAGCCUUUUGUGGCUGUCUUAAAAAGGACACCAAAGAAGGGUUUCUAGUAACAGAAAAAAAAAUUCAUCUUGUAACAUUAAAUUAAAACAUCCUGAUAGAAAAUCCUAGGUGUAGGAUUCCUAUAACCAUGUAAAAGUUGAAAUAACAAAAUUUGGGAAACAAAAUAAAUCACGUGAGCAGUGGCUACAUUUUUGUAAUGUAAUUAUAUGUCUUUUCUUCUUCUUUCCAUUUAGUUAUACUUUCCAAGUUUUCCAGAAUGCAUGUUGCUACUGACUGAAAUAUAGUCCCUCGAAUUCAUGUGCCGAAGACCUAAUCCCUAUGUGUUGGUAUCUGGAGACAAGGCCUUCAGGAGGUGAUUAGGGUUAGAUCUGUCAUAGGUGUGGGGCCCUUGCUAUGGGAGUAGAAUUCUUGCAAAAAGUGACAUUGGAGAGCACUCUCCACGGGCCUUUCACAGGGCCCGUGUAAAGACACAGGUGACAGGCAGCCAUCUGCAAACCAGGCAGAGAGCCCUUACCAGAACCCCACCAUGCUGGGCACCCUGAGCUAGGACUUCCAGCCUCCAGAACUCUGAGAAAGUAAAUUUCUGUUGUUUUGAAGCCACCCAGUUCAGGGUAUUUUGUUAUGGCAACUAGAACAGGCUAAUACACACAUGAUUUCUUCUUUGAGUAGAAAACAAAAUUUUAAAAGAAACAACUUGUUGACUUAAGAUCAAAGUAUCCUAUUGAGAACAAUGACUUUUUAAUGGAAUUUAGUUAUAUUUUUUAUUGUAAUACAAUUUACUUAGACUGCACAGUGUUAACUGUACAAUUCUUUGAGUUUUGGUAAAUGCAUAUGCUGCUACAAGAGUCUAUCACUUGAGAAAGUUCUUUUGCGCCCCCUUCUGGUUUAUCCACACCCCGCCCAUAGGAAAACAGGAUGUGUGACAUCACUUAUUAAUUUCCCUGUCCUUGAACUUCAUAUAAAUGCGAUCAUAUAUAUGACUCUUUGGUUAAUGACUUCUUUCCCACAGCAUACUCGUUCUGAGCUUCAUCGAUGCUGCAUGAUUCAACAGCCAUUCUAUUUUAAUCCCUGAGUGGCUUUCCACUGGAUAAACAAACCUCAAGUUUUCAUUCCAUUCUCUUUUUGAUGGCCAUUUGAAAUGCUUCCAGUUUGGGAGCACCAUGACUUCUAAUCUAUGAAGGUUUAUAUUGACAAUAUAUUAACAAGCUAAUUAAAUUCAAGUAUUGCUUCCACUAGUCGUUUACAGAUCCCUUAGGGUUGUGUAUUUAAACAAUCACGUCAUCUGUAAGCAGCUCUUCCCUUCUCUCUUUCCAAUCUUAAUGCUUUCUCUACUUUCACUUCUCAUUAUUCUAGCUAGAACCACCAGUACCGAAUAGAAAUGGCGGGGAAACAUAUUUAAUUUGUUCCCAGUCUUGGGGAAAAGCCAUUUUACAUCUCUACUAGUAUGACCCUGACUAUAGGUUUUUAUAAAUGCACUUUAUCAUAUCAAGGCAUCUCCCUGGUACUCU
rnacentral:lncRNA from 1 species